GUAAAAAUGCAGGUAGAUCCCUUGACUUGGUUAUAGAAGCAUGUGGAAGGUAUCUUCUGAAUUUCUGUGUUCAUUUUUUAAUCCUUAUGACUUAGCCCAAAACUAGUUCAUAGAAGUGGGGAAAUAAUCGAAAUUCACACACGAAGGGAAUUUAACUAGUUUUACAAAAAUGAUGCCCAUCCAAAAUUAGUGGGUUUGUUUCAUUUUGCUUUGUCUGAAUAUUGAUUUAAAACUUCCUAGUUAAUUCUAGUCAUUCAUAGGCCAAGACAAGUUUAAGACCAAAUGGUUGUAAUUGGGUUGAUGAGGUCUAGAGUUCUUAAAUGACUCAUUUAUAUUUCUACUGCCAUUUAAGAAAACAUUUAAAUUAUUCAUCUCAACUUUAUAUUUAAAAAUCGUUCUAUUAAAGAAGGAACCAAGAAAGUGAUUUAAAAAAAAAAAUUCUUCAACUGGUCAAAAAAAAAAAUAUAUGAGCUACUGCAUACCAGGACUCUACUUCUGGUAUUUUCACUUCAUUGAAAGUUUUAUUUUCUUUUUUUUCCAACUCCUGCAUACUGGUUUCUUUUUCUACAUGUCUAAGUUCUGGCACUUUCACUU
rnacentral:lncRNA from 10 species